rnacentral:sRNA from 1 species
GCAGGUCCUUCCCAAUCACUGACGUUUCCAAUUUUUUGAUAUAUUAAAGUUUGAGUACUUAAACCGUCAUUCCUCAAAAAUUUUAUAAUAAAAAUAUAAAAGUUUGAAAGUUUCAGCUUGUCAAAGUUCAAAUCUCGCAAUAUGCAUAUUUCAUCAGUUCAGACUGGUGAAAAGUGGAUGAUUGACCAUCAUUAUGGUGUAUUGUGUGGCCUACGGAUGUACAAACAUGCAUACGAAAGGCUGUGGAAAGAGUUUUUUCAACUUUCCGAAAGAUGCUCGUCGGAGGAAAAUAUGGACGAUUUUUUGUAAACGCGAGAGCUUCCUCCCUACUAAAAACCAGCGUUUGUGUUCUGACCAUUUUACGAAGAAUCAACUUCAGAGGGACCCAGCCCAUUUAGAGAGGUUAGGCUACGAAGGGGCAAGGACUCGGUUGAAAGUAGAUGCAGUGCCAGACGUUCCCCUCCCCAUUCACGCCAAAGAAAAUAAUGGCGCUGUGCAAUUGGUUCUGCCUGCCAAACCUAGAGGGGCCUACGCAAAACGCCAGAAAGCUGAGAUUUUUCGUCAAGCUUUUCAAGAAUUGGAGCCUCGGCCUUCAGAGAACAACACCUUACCUGAUCACUCCAUUGACCUAAUUGAACCAGGGGAUCCCAAUGAUGAGCAUCCCAUUGAACCCACUGCAUCAACAAAUGCAAUACCAGAGACCCAAUCAAAAAAAUGCCAGGCCACACUUCAAGUUCCACAGAGCACAAGGCGGAUCCAAGUAUUAGCUGCUGGUCUGACCCCUGUCCUUCAGCAGCAUGCAGUUGAGAAUGUGGAGGACAAUGAUGAUGAUAGUGACAUUGAGGGUGGUGACAUUGAGGGUAGUGAUGAGGACCCUGACUUUGACCUAGAUAGUGAAUAUCCAGAGAGUGAUAGCAGUGAUGAAGAGGAUGAAGAAUUCCAGCUGAGCACUGAUAUAACACCGGAAGAGGAGAGACAGUUUUUAGUGUCUGAGGUACAGUUAGCCAAACUUUUGCAAAACUGUAGUGUUUGCGGUAGUGCAUGUCACACAGUAGUGAAUGGUGUUCGUGGAACCAUGAUUUCAACAUCCUCUGUGUGCCCUAAUGGACACUCCAGUACCAGGGUACUUGGGAAAGCCAAAGAUGCCAUCAUGGAAUGCCAUGGGCAAAUUUGUUGGUUGCCGGUGCUAUUGUGUUUAGUGGAGCCAAUGCCUCGGAAAGCCUCAGACUCUUUCGACAUCUGAACCUGCAGAUGAUGUCCAUGUCCACAUUCAGCAGACUGCAGGCAUCUUAUGUUGUACCUGCCUCCAUUUUCACAUGGGACUUCCAUCAACAGACCCUUCUUGCGGAGUAUCAGGGAAGAUCUUUGACCCUUGGUGGAGAUGCAUGGUGUGAUUCUCCUGGAUUCACAGCGAAAUUUGGCUCCUACACGUUGAUGGAAUUGAGCAGUGGAAAAAUUCUGGAUUUU